AACGAACGCUGGCGGCGGGCCUCAUACAUGCAAGUCGAGCGCGAAAGUCCGCAAGGAUGAGUAGAGCGGCGCACGGGUGAGUAACACGUGGAUAAUCUACCCUUUGGAUUGGAAUAACCUGUCGAAAGACGGGCUAAUGCCGAGUAAGCCUUCGAGAGUGUGAAGCUCUUGCAGGGAAAGAUGGCGCAAGCUAUCGCCGAUGGAUGAGUCUGCGCCCAUUAGUUAGUUGGUGGGGUAAUGGCUUACCAAGACAAUGAUGGGUACCUGGUCUGAGAGGAUGACCAGGCACACUGGAACUGAAACACGGUCCAGACUCCUACGGGAGGCAGCAGUGGGGAAUCUUGCGCAAUGGGCGAAAGCCUGACGCAGCGACGCCGCGUGAGCGAUGAGGGCCUUC
rnacentral:rRNA from 1 species